GACUGAGACUGGGUCUCCAUAUCGCACCACAAUACUGGUUUGGCUCAACUCAAUGGGACAGCAGGCACCUGCAGUGUCUGUAGUUACAGUAGUUACAGUCGAUGAGGAUGGCUGUGCAGAGAUUUGAGAGGCAGACAAGGCCUCUGGCAAAGGUGAAAGAGGGGGCUGCUGCAAACAUAUCAUAUGGAUUUGAGAAACCUCAGCGGAGGCAACCACAGCGACCACUAAAGCCAUAACAAAGCUUCUGGGACAACUCAAUUAGCAAGGUCAAAGCCCACUGGGUUAAAACGUGGGAUCCCUGUUUGACAGAUUUAACUUGAAUCAAUCAUUCGUAGCUCAUCAGCCUCUGUG